rnacentral:rRNA from 1 species
GUGCCAGCAGCCGCGGUAAUACGUAGGUGGCAAGCGUUGUCCGGAUUUAUUGGGUUUAAAGGGUGCGUAGGCGGUCUAUUAAGUCAGUGGUGAAAUAUCGCAGCUUAACUGUGAGGGUGCCAUUGAUACUGAUGGACUUGAGUCAAGUCGAGGUAGGCGGAAUUGACGGUGUAGCGGUGAAAUGCUUAGAUAUCGUCAAGAACACCAAUAGUGAAGACAGCUUACUAGGCUUAAACUGACGCUGAGGCACGAAAGUGUGGGGAUCAAACAGGAUUAGAAACCCUCGUAGUCC